UUCUCAUUUACACUGAAUUUCACUCCAAAUUCCAAAAACCCGUUAGUCUUUUGAAAAACCCUAAAAUUCUACCUCAUCAAUCGACAAUGUGGAUUCGCUGUCUUCGAAGCACGAUAUCUCAGGUAAAGAAUUCUAAAGAAGGUAAAUGUUUCAUCAUGUCUUCUUAUUCCAAAUCCAUGUCUUUUUCUUAUUAAUGUUAGAUUAAUUUCCUCCUCCUCACCCUUUGUUAGUUCUAUUACUUCCUUAUCAAAUGCAGAUUUGGUCAUAACCCUACUUGAUAGCUACGGGUUUACUAAACCCUUGAUUUCUAAAAUCAUUACUAAGUAUCCACCAAUCCUCUCAUCCGAUCCUCACAAAACCCUAAAACCCAAUAUUGAUUUUUUCAUAUCCAAAGGCCUUUCUGGACUUGAGCUUGCCAAGUUCAUCUCUUCCAACCCAAAUUUGUUGAAAAGAAAUUUACAGAACCAUAUAAUCCCUCCGUUUAAUACCCUCAAGAACAUUCUUCAAUCUGACAAGAAUGUUAUCACCACUCUCAAACGCCAGUCAAGUGUUUUCUUCAAUAACAAUCUAGGUAUAUGAAAGAUGAUGGUAAACAUUGAGCUUUUGAGAAAUCAAGGUGUCCCUCAAUCCAAUAUUACUAAGUUUCUUAUCUCCCAACCAAGAGCACUUACAAUAAGCACUAGUAAAUUCAAGGAGAUUGUAGAAGAGAUUAAGGAUACGGGAUUCAAUCCGUAUAAAACUACAUAUCUUUUAGCUAUCCAAGUAAUCAAUGGGUUGAGCAAAUCGAAUAGGGAGUCAAGGAUGGAUGUUUACAGGAGAUUGGGUUGGUCUGAAGAACAAAUUCUUAAGGCAUUUAGGUACCAUCCUCUGUGUAUGUUGACUUCUGAGAAAAAGAUAACCUCGGUAAUGGAUUACCUUGUGAAUCAAAUGGGUUACAGUUCGUCUUAUAUUGCCCAAUACCCCAUUAUUAUGUGUUAUAGCUUGGAGAAGAGGAUUAUACCUAGGUGUUCUGUUUACAAAAUCUUAACCUCCAAAGGUCUGGUUAAAAAAAAAAUUGCCCUAAGUUCACUUUUGCCGAUGCCCGAGAAGUCUUUCUUGGAGAAGUUUGUGAUCAAAUUUGAGGUAGAAGCUCCAGAAAUAUUGAAGCUAUACCCAGAUGCAGUUAAAUCUAAAGCUACCUAGUAGUACUUCUAAAGGAUGUGCAGAGAUGCAUAUGUUGCAGCUUGUCUCAAUUAAGAUAGAGAAAACCACCACAGAUGUAGGCUUUAUAGAGCAUAUGGUUCUGUUGUCUUCUCAUAGAUGUGAUGAGGGUGUUCGGGACAUCUUCAUCCCACUUUUAAUGAAAUAUGAAGGACUUUUUGGACCUGAUCUUGUCUAUUUCAUCUCCGGGGACCCAUGGUUCCAUAAGAUCUUAAAAGCUCAACAAAAUGGAAGAACUUAACCCUUGCUAGUGGGAAUUUUUUCUUCUUGUUUGGUGAGUUGUUGUCUUAUUCAUGACUGACGUUCUUGAUAACAAUUGGUUUUCCUGCAUUUAACAGCAACAUGAGAUUCGAGCUUAGCUUUCCAGAUACUGGGGCAUGUCGCCUUUAACUGAGCCAGCUUCUGUUCAGUUUUGUUUAUUUGGUUUUGGCUUUUGAUCCAGUGUUGAUGCAAGCGUUUCAUAUAGUUGGUUUAUACGGCGGGCAUGCUUGAGCAACUCGGGAUGUAUGUUGGAGUAAUUGAAGGGUGGGGAUCUUACUGAUCUCUCGUCGGUAAGGACCAUGGAAAAACCAAUACAAGGCAGAAGUGAGAUACUUAGGACCAGAUGGACAGCCAGCGAGGAACCUGUCGCUGGUAGUGCUUGCAACUAGGGUUGGAUGGAUACCAAACCAGAGUCAGCGGACCGUAAAUGUAGGUCCAUAAUUGUCAAGCAUGUGCACAAGAAUUUGGAACAGAGGUUUUUACUAGCUGAGGACAGUGAGGAGUAUGACCUACAUCUGCUACUUUAGAUGUCUGUAUUGUGUGACUAUGGUUUGAUAUGUUCAGUUUUUAUCUUUUGUCUUU